AAGGAUGGGUCUUCAACAGCUUGCUGUUAUCGACCUGUUUUAGAAACAUCAGAAGGCUCUAAGUCAUACGAGCCUCAUUGGCGGGAUUUCGCCGUCUUCGUUUCUCUUUCUUCGCGGACGAACACGCGCCUGGGGUGCGCGCAAGUCGAUCGGCCCGGCGUCUGCCGGCUGGUGGUUUGCUUGCGGCCUCUCGUGCUGAGGGCUUGUAGCUCAGUUGGUUAGAGCGCGCGCUUGAUAAGCGUGAGGUCGGAAGUUCAAGUCUUCCCAGGCCCACCAUUUUGUCGAGCGCUGCAUUCGUCUUCUGGUUACGGGGCCAUAGCUCAGCUGGGAGAGCGCGUGCUUUGCAAGCAUGAGGUCGUCGGUUCGAUCCCGUCUGGCUCCACCAGAUGGACGAUCAUCGAACGAACAUCAUCGUAACGAAGAUCAUCGUGACCUCGGCUUCGCCUCGUUGCUGUCAUCCGGACAGCGACGGUGGCUCAUCGUCCGCAACUUGUAUUCGCCGGCUUUGCGCAAUGCGCGGCCUGGCGGGUUUUCUGACAUCGUGAAGAGGAGAUCGAUCCGGGUUCGGGUCUUGUAGAGCAAUCUGCGGGCGCCGUUCGCGUAUCUCCAGAUCGUUUUCGGCGCAUGCCGGUCGCAAGACCUGCGUGUUGUAAAACGGUCUUUGUUGGCGAGCUUGACCGCACGCCAUCGGUUCGAUCUUACGAAGCAAUAACUGGUCUUUUCAUUCAAUGUCCGUUUGCAAGACGCGUCCUUCGGGAUGGCUUGCAAGUACAUUCUGCCGAGUGUGUGGACAUUGAUAAUGAGAGCAAUCAA
rnacentral:tRNA from 1 species